rnacentral:rRNA from 1 species
GACGAACGCUGGCGGCGUGCUUAACACAUGCAAGUCGAACGAAAAGGCCAUGCUUUUGUGGGGUGCUCGAGUGGCGAACGGGUGAGUAACACGUGAGUAACCUGCCCUUGACUUUGGGAUAACUUCAGGAAACUGGGGCUAAUACCGGAUAGGAGCUCCUGCAGCAUGGUGGGGGUUGGAAAGUUUCGGCGGUUGGGGAUGGACUCGCGGCUUAUCAGCUUGUUGGUGGGGUAGUGGAUUACAAAGGCUUUGACGGGUAGCCGGCCUGAGAGGGUGACCGGCCUCAUUGGGACUGAGAUACGGACCAGACGCCAACGGUACGCAGCAGUGGGGAGUAUUGCAGAAUGGGCGGGAGCCAGAGGCAGCAACGCCGCGUGCGGGAUGACGGCCUUUGGGUUGUAAACCGCUUUCGCCUGUGAUAAAGCGUGAGUGACGGUAAUGGGUAAAGAAGCGCCGGCUAACUACGUG